UACAGAGGUGGCAAGCGUUGUUCGGAAUUACUGGGCGUAAAGGGCGCGUAGGCGGCCUUCUAAGUCAGACGUGAAAUCCCCCGGCUUAACCUGGGAACUGCGUCUGAUACUGGGAGGCUUGAGUAUGGGAGAGGGAUGUAGAAUUCCAGGUGUAGCGGUGAAAUGCGUAGAUAUCUGGAGGAAUACCGGUGGCGAAGGCGGCAUCCUGGACCAUAACUAACGCUGAGGCGCGAAAGCUAGGGGAGCAAACGGG
rnacentral:rRNA from 1 species